AGUGAACGCUGCGGUAGGCCUAACACAUGCAAGUCGAACGGCAGCACAGGAGAGCUUGCUCUCUGGGUGGCGAGUGGCGGACGGGUGAGGAAUACAUCGGAAUCUACUCUGUCGUGGGGGAUAACGUAGGGAAACUUACGCUAAUACCGCAUACGACCUACGGGUGAAAGCAGGGGACCUUCGGGCCUUGCGCGAUUGCAUGAGCCGAUGUCGGAUUAGCUAGUUGGCGGGGUAAAGGCCCACCAAGGCGACGAUCCGUAGCUGGUCUGAGAGGAUGAUCAGCCACACUGGAACUGAGACACGGUCCAGACUCCUACGGGAGGCAGCAGUGGGGAAUAUUGGACAAUGGGCGCAAGCCUGAUCCAGCCAUACCGCGUGGGUGAAGAAGGCCUUCGGGUUGUAAAGCCCUUUUGUUGGGAAAGAAAUCCAGCUGGCUAAUACCCGGUUGGGAUGACGGUACCCAAAGAAUAAGCACCGGCUAACUUCGUGCCAGCCGCCGCCGUAA
rnacentral:rRNA from 1 species